rnacentral:sRNA from 1 species
AUUCUGCAGCCACCCAUAUGUCACCACCUACCUGCUUUAUCUCUUUGUCACAUUUUCGUCUCUUUCUACUUCAACUUUCCUUUGAUUCAUCCCCAAAAGCUUUCCCCUAGGAUACUUGGCAGUAUUCCCUCACUAGUCAAAAUCUGGUGGGUCUUUCUUGAGUGAGCUCUCAGAGCUGACCUCCUUUUUUAAGACAUCUAUUUGCAUGCAGGUGGCCACUGAUGACAUCAAUGGUUUUGCAGUAUUGAGCCACAUUUUGGAUUUUACCUAGAAGAUGGGCAGAAUAUAAAUGUUUUCAUGAGAACAAAAUAUUCAGCUGGAUGCUUGUCACAAUUCUAAUGUCCCUGCAAAGAUGAGAUGCAUGAAUCACACAGCAAUCUCUUCAAAAUGAAUUUCUGGAAGGUAAGAAUAAAACACAGCGGACACUAAAACUUUUCUGCCCACAAAAGUAAGAGGCAUUUGAGAAUUGUUCACUAUAUCUUAUGAGGCAUAGGAGAAGAGAAUCCUGGAAAAAGCAAGAAGCAGGAAGAUAAGAGGCAAAGAAGAAGAGAGCCCCACCCACUGGGGCAAG